CCUACGGGUGGCUGCAGUGGGGAAUAUUGCACAAUGGGCGCAAGCCUGAUGCAGCCAUGCCGCGUGUGUGAAGAAGGCCUUCGGGUUGUAAAGCACUUUCAGCGGGGAGGAAGGCGUUAAGGUUAAUAACCUUGGCGAUUGACGUUACCCGCAGAAGAAGCACCGGCUAACUCCGUGCCAGCAGCCGCGGUAAUACGGAGGGGUCAAGCGUUAAUCGGAAUUACUGGGCGUAAAGCGCACGCAGGCGGUCUGUCAAGUCUGAUGUGAAAUCCCCGGGCUCAACCUGGGAACUGCAUUCGAACUGGCAGGCUAGAGUCCUGUAGAGGGGGGUAGAAUUCCAGGUGUAGCGGUGAAAUGCGUAGAGAUCUGGAGGAAUACCGGUGGCGAAGGCGGCCCCCUGGACAAAGACUGACGCUCAGGUGCGAAAGCGUGGGGAGCAAACAGGAUUAGAUACCCUUGUAGUC
rnacentral:rRNA from 1 species